AGCAGCCGCGGUAAUUCCAGCUCCAAUAGCGUAUAUUAAAGUUGUUGCAGUUAAAAAGCUCGUAGUUGAAUUUCGGGAUCAAUAUGUUGGUCGUGCCUCGGUACGUACUAGCAUAUUGGUUUCUCCCUUCUGACGAACCACGAUGUCAUUAAUUUGGUGUCAUGGGAAAUCAGGACUGUUACUUUGAAAAAUUAGAGUGUUUAAAGCAAGCUCGUGCUUGAAUACAUUAGCAUGGAAUAAUGAAAUAGGACGUUUGAUUCUAUUUUGUUGGUUUCUAGGAUCGACGUAAUGAUUAAUAGGGAUAGUUGGGGGCAUUAGUAUUCAAUUGU
rnacentral:rRNA from 1 species